UGGGGAGGCUCAUAUAACAGCAUGGCAGCAAGGAUGGGGUCGUAGGAGAUACCGGUCUCUUGCACUGUCCUUUGUUGUCAGUUCUCCCAGGGGAAGAGAUUGAUGACUGACAACUGCCACCACCAGAAUAAGGGUGGGGCAGCUCUGCCCAGCAGCUGAUGCUGCAGAACCCAGAGGGUCGGGAGCCGGCGGACCCCAGUACACAGGGAUCGCCGCGGGAGCAUGCGACGCGGGAACAGGCGCCUGCAGACCGCCCGGGACGCGGGCCUGGAAUGCACGCGCUGCGUGGAAUGAGACUCGGGAAACUGCUGGGUGCGUGGGACGGCGGACCUUCGGGACCGCGGCGACAGACCUCUCAGGGCUGGGGAGGACGCUGAAAGUUGAAUGAUUUUUUGAGGUUAAAAUCGUUCAGAGGAAGGCUGAGCAGCCCUGAGCUUUUCUUGCAGCCCGAGUGCUGACGCUGCCCAGCUGGGGAGGCUUGAGGACCUCUGCCUUGAGCAUAGGAAGGGAUCCUUGUCCUGGUCGGGGCUGUGCCUUCCAAGGGACUGGGCUGGCCGCUUCUGACGGGGUAAUGGUUAGGCCAGUGCUUCCUUGACCAGA